rnacentral:rRNA from 1 species
UACGGAGGGGGCUAGCGUUGUUCGGAAUUACUGGGCGUAAAGCGCGCGUAGGCGGACCUGCAAGUCGGGGGUGAAAGCCCGAGGCUCAACCUCGGAACUGCCUUCGAUACUGCGGGUCUCGAGUCCGGGAGAGGUGAGUGGAAUUCCUGGUGUAGCGGUGAAAUGCGCAGAUAUCAGGAGGAACACCGGUGGCGAAGGCGACUACCUGGCCUGUUCUUGACGCUGAGGCGCGAAAGCUAGGGGAGCAAACGGG